AGUGAGCGCUGAGCCGCCUACGAGGGAGGGAGGCUGCCUCAGGGCCUUGAGCCGCAAGGUCCCACUGCGGCACGUGAGCUGACGCGAGCUGCCAGGGACUCCGGCGCCGGCGCGGGGCGCAUCCCUGGGAACCCGUCCUUGGGAGCCGCUGACAGUCCAGCUCCAGGCUGCCCCAGAGCUCCACAACCCGCCAGUCUUUUCUCCUCCAGUUGUGGAAGGCAAGAAGAGGCACAGACCCAUCAAGAGUGCAGAAGAUACUUAUGGAGCAUCGAUUAUGAUGAGCCCAGCAGCCCAAGGUUAAACAGGAGAGUUCCCUUCCAGAACUUACUGCUGUGCAACCAAGCUGGAGGAAAAGAAAGCGUGAGGAACUCCCACCAGACUGAAACCCUUUUUGUUGCUCGCAUGUCACAGAGCCUUCAUUCUGUUCCUGAGGAAGAAAUAGUAUCCUG